rnacentral:rRNA from 1 species
UACGAAGGGGGCUAGCGUUGCUCGGAAUCACUGGGCGUAAAGCGCACGUAGGCGGAUUGCUAAGUCAGGGGUGAAAUCCUGGAGCUCAACUCCAGAACUGCCUUUGAUACUGGCGACCUUGAGUCCGGGAGAGGUGAGUGGAACUGCGAGUGUAGAGGUGAAAUGCGUAGAGAUCGGGAGGAACACCCGUGGCGAAGGCGGCCAACUGGGCCGACCCUGACGCUGAGGCGCGAAGGCGUGGGGAGCGAACGGG